GACGAACGCUGGCGGCGUGCUUAACACAUGCAAGUCGAACGGUGAAGGUGGAGCUUGCUCCGCCGGAUCAGUGGCGAACGGGUGAGUAACACGUGGGCAACCUGCCCCUCACUUCGGGAUAACUCCGGGAAACCGGGGCUAAUACCGGAUACGACCUCCUUGGGCAUCCUUGGAGGUGGAAAGUUUUUCGGUGAGGGAUGGGCCCGCGGCCUAUCAGCUUGUUGGUGAGGUAGUGGCUCACCAAGGCGACGACGGGUAGCCGGCCUGAGAGGGCGACCGGCCACACUAGGACUGAGACACGGCCCAGGCUCCUACGGGAGGCAGCAGUGGGGAAUAUUGCGCAAUGGGCGAAAGCCUGACGCAGCAGCGCCGCGUGCGGGAUGAAGGCCUUCGGGUUGUAAGCCGCUUUCAGCAGGGAAGAAGCCGCAAGGUGACGGUACCUGCAGAAGAAGCACCGGCUAACUACGUGCCAGCCGCCGCCGUAA
rnacentral:rRNA from 1 species